rnacentral:sRNA from 1 species
CGACCAAGGUUCGACUCGAGCGAAGCGAGAGAACGUUGCCGCAGGCAAUGGCCCGAAGGCGAGGCGCUUUAGCGCCGAGUAAUCCUUCCCCCACCACUG